AUUGUACCACAACUCAGUGGUAUGCAGGCUCCCUCUAGUGGUAUUUGGAAGAACGACUGCUUGAGUACAGUUCAGCUUUAUUUAACUUUUAAUGCAUUGCAAUAAAUAUCAAUUGAAUCAUUAUUGAGGUAGUGUUCUGCGAUUUCAAUGUUGUCAUUAUAGCAUUUUAGAAUCAGUGACUUUGGCAAUUAUGCUAUGAGGCUAAUGAUAAGCUACAAGAACUGCGUAAUGAGGCGAUGCUGAAAGAAAAGUAAAAAUAUUAUCUUGAUAUGGGAAGAUAAUGACGAAAAUGGGUGGGUUUUGUCACAUUUUAUUGACCCGUGCGUAUUGAUGAUGAGGCUGACAUUUUUUUU